rnacentral:rRNA from 1 species
UACGAAGGGGGCUAGCGUUGCUCGGAAUCACUGGGCGUAAAGCGCACGUAGGCGGAUCGUUAAGUCAGGGGUGAAAUCCUGGAGCUCAACUCCAGAACUGCCUUCGAUACUGGAGAGCUUGAGUCCGGGAGAGGUGAGUGGAACUGCGAGUGUAGAGGUGAAAUUCGUAGAUAUUCGCAAGAACACCAGUGGCGAAGGCGGCUCACUGGCCCGGUACUGACGCUGAGGUGCGAAAGCGUGGGGAGCAAACAGG